GUCAGGGUCAAGAGCAGCUCAUUCAACACAGAUUUUGCGAUGUUCUAUUAUUAAUACUUUUGGAACCUCAUCAGAGAAUGCAUGCUGCAAGCUGAAGAUUGCAGGGGCAACAGCUUCAUUAGGAAAACACUCUUCAUGGUGACACUCUCUAUCCAGUUAAUUCUGGGGUAUCCCCCAAUGUCUCCUUAUGGGACGUGCCUGGAGAACCUCCAAAGGAAGAUACCCAAGACACAUCCUAAUCAAAUUCGUUGUGGAAGAUCAGCACCUCUACUCCAAGCUCCCUGUGGAUAAUGGAGCUCCUCAUCCUAUUUCAAAGCUGCUUGAUCUCAUGAUCCAUAUCUCAUGACCACAGGAUAAACUCGGGUGCUGUUUUCAGACAUCGCAAAUUGGUUUCUUUAAGGAAGCUGCAACAUAUUUGCUUUUAAAGCCAAUUCAAGACUUUUAAUUAUUAAUUCACUUAUUAGUUUGAACUGAAAGGUUUAUGUGAAAAUAAAACAAGGUUUACACCAAUUUUUGUUUUUUUUAGGUUUAGGUUUUAAAUGUUUUACAGUACUUCAGACUCUGCUGUUUAGACCAUGAAGAAAACUGAUAAUCAGCAAGUAAAACCCUGUCCUUCAGUUCCUUUUGCCAGUUGGUCUGAUAUGACUAUAAAAUGAAAAUUUACUUCAUUUGUUUUGCAAUUUUUACAACCUUUCACCCCAGUCGAUGUAAACACCGUGAUAAACUUGGCCAGAAACAUAAUAUAUUGUCUUAAUAAAAUUCUCAACAACUGAAUAAACUGUAGUCACUGAUGAAGAUUGCAUGAUACGAUCCACCACAGAGUAACCAGCAGCUAUGAUCAGCUUAGAACUGAACUUUUGAUUUGUAUUUAUAGUACUUAAAGAAAUAAAAGAUUAAAUGUUGA